GAUGAACGCUGGCGGCGUGCCUAAUACAUGCAAGUCGAGCGAACAGACGAGGAGCUUGCUCCUCUGACGUUAGCGGCGGACGGGUGAGUAACACGUGGAUAACCUACCUAUAAGACUGGGAUAACUUCGGGAAACCGGAGCUAAUACCGGAUAAUAUAUUGAACCGCAUGGUUCAAUAGUGAAAGACGGUUUUGCUGUCAUUUAUAGAUGGAUCCGCGCCGCAUUAGCUAGUUGGUAAGGUAACGGCUUACUAAGGCAACGAUGCGUAGCCGACCGGAGAGGGGGAUGGCCCACACUGGAUCUUGGUCACUGUCCAGACUCCUACGGGAAGCAUCAGUAGGCAUUCUGCCACAAUGUGCGGAAGCCUGCCGCAGCUGCGCCGCGUGCGUGGUGAAAGUCUUCGGAUCGUAAGUCUCUGUUUUUAGGGAAUAACAAAUGUGUAAGUAACUAUGCACGUCUUGACGGUACCUAAUCAGAAAGCCACGGCUAACUACGUG
rnacentral:rRNA from 1 species